rnacentral:rRNA from 1 species
GAUGAACGCUGGCGGCGUGCCUAAUACAUGCAAGUCGAACGCUUCGAUUUAUCGAAGAGUGGCGAACGGAUGAGUAAUACAUAAGUAACCUGCCCUUAACAGGGGGAUAACUACUAGAAAUGGUAGCUAAGACCGCAUAGGUGGAUUGAUCGCAUGAUCGAUUCAUUAAAAGACCUUUCAAGGUCUGGAUAAGGAUGGACUUAUGUCGCAUUAGCUAGUUGGUAAGGUAACGGCUUACCAAGGCGACGAUGCGUAGCCGGCCUGAGAGGGUGAACGGCCACAUUGGGACUGAGACACGGCCCAAACUCCUACGGGAGGCAGCAGUAGGGAAUUUUCGGCAAUGGGGGAAACCCUGACCGAGCAACGCCGCGUGAAGGAAGAAGGAAUUCGUUUCGUAAACUUCUGUUAUAAAGGAAGAAAGAUGAUAUCAGGAAAUGGAUGUCAAGUGACGGUACUUUAUGAGAAAGCCACGGCUAACUACGUGCCAGCAGCCGCGGUAAUACGUAGGUGGCAAGCGUUAUCCGGAAUUAUUGGGCGUAAAGAGGGAGCAGGCGGUAACAAAGGUCUGUGGUGAAAGCCUGAAGCUUAACUUCAGUAAGCCAUAGAAACCAGGUAACUAGAGUGCAAGAGAGGAUCGUGGAAUUCCAUGUGUAGCGGUGAAAUGCGUAGAUAUAUGGAGGAACACCGAUGGCGAAAGCAGCUUACUGGGCCGGAAUUGACGCUGAGGCACGAAAGCGUGGGGAGCAAACA